UCUUAUGGGUGAGCAAAGAAGGUGGUUUCUUGAGGUGGAAUUUACUUCUGUGAGGAUGCUGUGAA
rnacentral:pre_miRNA from 1 species